rnacentral:rRNA from 1 species
UGGGGAAUAUUGCACAAUGGGGGAAACCCUGAUGCAGCGACGCCGCGUGAACGAAGAAGGUAUUCGUAUCGUAAAGUUCUGUCCUAUGGGAAGAUAAUGACAGUACCAUAGAAGAAAGCUCCGGCUAAAUACGUGCCAGCAGCCGCGGUAAUACGUAUGGAGCGAGCGUUGUCCGGAAAUAUUGGGCGUAAAGGGUACGCAGGCGGUUUAAUAAGUCGAAUGUUAAAGAUCGGGGCUCAACCCCGCAAAGCAUUGGAAACUGAUAAACUUGAGUAGUGGAGAGGAAAGUGGAAUUCCUAGUGUAGUGGUGAAAUACGUAGAUAUAAGGAGGAAUACCAGUAGCGAAGGCGACUUUCUGGACACAAACUGACGCUGAGGUACGAGAGCGUGGGGAGCAAACAGG